rnacentral:rRNA from 1 species
UACGUAGGUGGCAAGCGUUUGUCCGGAAUUAUUGGGCGUAAAGCGCGCGCAGGCGGUCCUUUAAGUCUGAUGUGAAAGCCCACGGCUCAACCGUGGAGGGUCAUUGGAAACUGGGGGACUUGAGUGCAGGAGAGAAAAGUGGAAUUCCACGUGUAGCGGUGAAAUGCGUAGAUAUCGGGAGGAACACCAAUGGCGAAAGCAGGUUGCUGGCCCAAUACUGACGGGUGAGCUGCGAAAGCUAGGGGAGCAAACAGG